rnacentral:tRNA from 1 species
GACCGCGUAGCUCAGUUGGAAAAGCAUUGAGCUAGUAUUCCAAAGGUCGUAGGUUCGAAUCCCGCCGUGGCCA